GGAGCGGGCUGGGCGCUGGGCGCGCACCGGAGGAUGCGCGGCGGGGCCGGCAGCUCGCGCCCGCCCGCGAGGCUUGUCGCGGAUUUGCCAGUUCCUGUAUGCCGAUGGGGAUUGUGUUCUGGCUCCUUGUCAGUGCCUUAAAAGAAGCCUAUGCUCUGAACAGUGAGCCUGGGGGAAGAGAGAGCCUGUGUGUGGAUUGCGUCCCACCUUGCCUUUUCUCCCAGCCCCUUGCAGCGAGCUCUCAUGUGCCAGAGGGAAGGGGAGAGCCUCACUGAACUGGAACAGCACGAGUGAGGACAAAGCGCAUUUGGCUGGGGGUCCUCGCCACCCUGCGGCGGAGACAACCAGCUCCUGCCAGGUAGAUGCCCACAGGGGAGAAGACAAGUUCAGCUGAGCUGAUGCAUCUCGGCACCUGAUACCAGGUUCAGGUAAGGGCACGUUGCUUGGAGCUGGGUUUUAUUUCCGCAUUUUCUUCUCUGAACUCACAAACUGGCUCCAGA
rnacentral:lncRNA from 1 species